ACGGUUUCGCGAGCAGAGGAUACAAUGGGUGAGGGUCCAUGCGAGCGGAAAAGCAAAACCAUCUUCCAUCCUCACCUCAGUCUGCGCCGCUGCGCCAAGAGAAAAAACAGAGUCCAGACCGGCUUCAGCAACUCAUCCUCAGAGCAGAGUUGCUGCCGAGUGAAUAGAGAGCUCGUGCUGCGUGCGGCGGGAAGGUUUCGAUGGCAGAUCCGGUGGCCACCGUGGAGAAGAUCGUCAAAAUCGGGCUCAAGAUCAAGGAGGCCGUGAACAGGGUUCGCCGCAACGAGGAGGAUUGCCGCGAGAUCACGAGGCGCGUGCUGAGGUUCAGCGCCAUCCUGUCGCAGCUGCAGCAGACGGGGACGGUGGCCGACAGCCCGGCGCUGGCCGGUGCGCUGGAGGACCUGGAGGAGACCCUGCAGCGUGCCCUCGAGCUCGUCACGGCCUGCCAGGAGAGGACCACUACCCGCCGCCUCGUCGCGGCGGGUGACCUGUCGAAGCAGCUGCGCCGGGUACAGGAUGACAUCUUGAACAAAGUGAUGCUGGCGUCCUUCGCCAUCAACGCCCACACCACCAUCUUGUUGCUUACUAUUCAGGCUGGUGGUCAGCCUCCGCCCCGGCAGCAGCAAGCGGAUGCAGGACUGACGGGUGUAUCGAAUAACAUUCAUUCAACUGAAGAUGCUAGCCUUAAAAAACUUCAGUUUAUCUGAGUUAAAGGAUGCUAUAAAUGGAGGAAACAUCAUUGGAGAAGGUGCAUUCUGUAUGGUCUACAAGGUACUCAACAUAUGCUUGAUAUUCAAAUUGUUAUUGUUUCUUUGAUAUGUCUGAUAAAUUUUCUUGUCCAUUGAACAAAGAUGGGUCACUUUGUCAUAUUUGGGAACUCUGGAAGCUAAGGCUGAAUAAUGGGUGCAUAGGCUUUAGUAAUUUGGACCUGAUAAGAAGGAACGGGCACUGAUUUUUUUUUUGAUGAAACAGGCACAGAAUUUGUUGGCUAUAUCAAUGAAUUUAUCACUCAUUUGCAAGUGAAACAUAAAAAAGAGAGCCAUAGAGGGGUUAAAGGGUUCCGAUAAGUUUGCACAUCUUUACAUUUUAGCAUUAUUAAUGCAACAAGCCUCUUUCCAGUAUAACUGCAACAUCAAUGAUUCCAUCAUUCUGUUACUUGUAUCCAUUGCCAGGCUGAAUGAUGAUGAUGCUUCACAAAUAACGGCACAGCUCAUAAACAUUUACCUAUGUUUUACUGACAAAAUAAUCCACUAUAGUCGAAAUACAUGAAUUUUUUCUUUGUUAUGCAUAUUGCAUUUUUAAUUCAAAAGAGUAGCAUUAGAAACAAUUUAAAUCCAGCGAUCAGUAAAUUUAAAAUCUUAACCAACUUUACUUGUUUGUGACUCCUUUGGGAUUCUGAUAGAACAUUAUCUGUUCUUGGCAUCCGAGGUUAACUUGCCUUUUUAGAUUGUUCACUUAUUCUCAAUUAAGGUUCCUACUGAGUUGACAAUGUCUUCCCUGCAUGGUGAUGAUAGUGCGAUGAGCAUAGAAAAAUUGAGUUAUUUGAUCUAUGGAAGUGCAUACUUAUAAAGUUCAAUAUACUUUACAAAUAUAUAAUACCCUCACCUUUUCUUUUCUAUAAUGCAACCCAUGAUUCAAACCUUUUAAUCUGACCAACAAGUAGUCUAAGAAUUUGUAGAUUAUACCAUAAAAAUUUAUUAUAAUCAGAUCAUAUUCAUAUAUUUGAAAGUAUUUUCAUAUGAAGUCAAUUUUAUGUACUCGAAUAAUAUAAUGGCUGUGAUAUUAACAGUCAAAGGUAGUAAUGGAGACUACAUCAGGUCAAACACCUCCUUACAUUUUUCAAAGGAUGGAGUAAUAGAUAUUACUUAGCAAAUUCAUAUUUUUGAGACCAUGGUAAUAUCCAAAGAAUGCUUUCAGUGACACCUUAGCAUAAAUUGAAACUAAAAUAGAUAGGAAUUAAAAUUUUAAUUGAUGAGAAGAUAUUCUUUAAUUUUACGUGUAACACGACAUAGCGGCCGGGUUCAAUAAGCCAAUUCAAGCGUAGUACUAUGUUGCAACCACCCAACAAGUCAAUCAUAUGUUGAGCCCUUUUACAAUAUUUGGAAAUACUUUUUAACGCUUUCUAAUACCUCCCAAUGCCUACUCAUAAUAUUAUUUUUAAUUAAUUUUAAUUAUUGAAGGGUAGAAUAGUAAUUGGGAUAUCCCAAAUCCCACGACUUAAGAUCCUUAAACCCCAAAUCACGGGAUUCAGAUUCAAAGCUCAGGGGCUACUGGACAUGCGUCAUAACUCAUAAAUGAUAAUUUUUUAAAGGGCCCACUAUCCUCUCCUGCCUCCGCCAAACCCCACGCCCACCGGCAUCUUCUCUCUCCCGGUGAGUGUCGCCCCCGACCACCACUUCCCGUCGCACCCUCAACUGCUGUCACUGCCGUGUCACCACCUCGUUGCAGCCUUGCUCGCCGGCCUGCCCGUCCCCGUCGCUGACAUUGAAGGCGCCACCAGUCGAGCUCACCUCCGCCGCCUAGGAAAGGCGCCCCAAGUUGCUCUCCUCACCACCAUUGAGCUCGCCGAGCCACGCGUCCCACUCCUCCAGCUUCCCAUCCCCAAGCUCUGUCCAUCGAGCUGCUCUGUUCUUGGUGGAACAAACCACCAGCCGAUCUCCCCCAUCAAACCCUCUCGUUUCAAUUCCUCCUAGGAUGAGCACCUCCAAGCCCUCCUCUACCUUCCCCAACCCGUGGCCUUCACUCUCCCUACUUGAGCAGAGCUCCCCAAAGCUCGGGAUGCCAUAGCCAUGGCUACCGCGGCCGCCGUAUCCAACCUUCGUUUCCCAUGCCUAGAGUCACUGUCACACCCGAUUUUAUAAAGAAAAUCGAAUGCAUCUCAUAUGUCCUCCAGGAUCAAAUUUACACACAUAUGAUCGACGUCGAGUGAAUGUAUCAAAAGACAAUGCUUGAAAAGUAAAGGAAUUAUAGAGCAAAACGACAUUAUUACACCCCGAAUGAAAUAGACUCAAAAGGUCUUAAACGUUUCACCGACAUCCUAAAUGAAGUCCACAGCACAACUUCUCCCACAGGCAGCUGACUAGUGGACGUACGCCUAGAACUCCUCGAAAUCGUCGAAGUUCUCCACUUCAAAGUUCUCUUCUGAGCAGCAAUUUAAGCAAUGGUGAGUACACUUAUGGUUAAUACUCAGCAAGUGGGGGAAUAUGCAAGGUUAAACAAGAAGUGCUAAAGGCAUUUCAGCGGUUAGCAAUUUUAGUUGAUCAUAUUUUAUUAGCAAGCACCUAUUAACUAAGUAUAAGUUUAUACCAACCCACUUAAGCAUAAGCAUAAAGGAUCCAACAUAAAACCAAAGAACCACAAUUUGAUUAUUCUUCAAGUUCAAUUAUCAUACGAGGGUCCAAGCCGCUCAUAACCGCGAGCACGACUGAUAUAUUAGUUUUACACUCUGCAGAGGUUGUACACUUUACCCAUAAGUCGCGUAAAAGUUCCGAAGAACUUUGGACCCAAUCAUGCUGUGCGGGCCGGCACAAUGCCACACUUCCUUAGGUGUGAUUGCAUAGGGAUGCUAUGAGGCCUUUACAAAGAUUCCCUAAUAAGAAGUGGUCCGCUAAGGUUUCCGGAGCAGUAGCAGAGCAUAAGCCUCCCUAAUGGGCAUAGUGUCUUAGCAAAGCCCACUUCCCAAGAGGACCGGGUUAUACCCUGUCAACCGCUGCUCCUCUUGCCCUUUCGGUAAGACUGCUUCAAACUAGAGUCUCUAAUUAAUUAGCCAAGACCAGAGCCAUAUAGUUCUUGUGGUUGCACUGUUUUCCUGGGUGGUUCUCCAUGUUCCAAUUAAUCGAAGUGAUCUUGUUCCCUUAACCAUGAUAAAACCAUAUUUAACAUUUUCCAAGAUUAUACCAACCAACCCAAGAUAAAGAAACUAAGCAAAGCUACCCCAACAAGAUAUUAAACCCGGUGUUCCAAGGUUGAGGUAAAAAGACUAGGGAAAGUCCUUAAUAGGUGUUCCCGUCAAAUUUAUGCAUAAACAGUAAAGUAAAGUGAAUUAACAUGCUAUUAAUGGGACAAAUCAGAGUAUGCAGAGGCGGAAAGCCACUUGCCUUCCUUGGCUAACUGCUGAAAAUCUUCCUCAAAAGCUUGCUCUUGAUCACCCUCGAACGGCACGUCGUCUACACGAUCACACAAGCACAACAAACAAUACAAAUAAGAAACAGUAGAAAAAAGUAAAAACAGUACCGGAAAAGGUGAAAAAGGUGUAGAACGCGAAGCAAGGAUCGCGUGAGUGCAAGAAUCGCUGAAAACGGAGUUGAAACAUGAAAGAUAUGGCUAAAACAGUGCAUUAGGGACUUGUUUGUGAGAGUUUUGAACUUCCAGGGGUUAGCUUCAAUGAAACCAGGGGCUAAAAACCUAAUUAAACCUUAGAUCCAGGGGCUAGAUAGCGAAAAGAAGGGUCCUGGAUGGCGGCUUCUAUUUUUAGAAAACACAGGGGCUAAAAUAGAAAGAAAAGGACUUCAACCUAAUUAUUUUUGAACUGCAGUGGACUGCGGGUUUAUUUUCGCAAAACUGAGGGGCUCUUUUGCAAAAGAUCAGGGGGUUGACCGGUAUGUGGGGGAUUGACUUUGGUCUAGAUCCAAUCUAGACCGUCGGAUGGAGAUCCGAGGGCUGGGAUGGGCGCGGCUCGGCUCUGCGCGGCUCGGGCCGCGCGGCUCGACUUCGUGGCGGCUCGGCUGCACGGGGACGCGGCUUGGGCGGGGCGGCGGCUCGGUGGCGCCGCUCAGCGAGCGGCGCUGCACACCGGCGGUGAGCAGGGGCGGCGGCGGACCGCCGGAGAACACCGAAUCCGGUGCUCCAGGGCUCGGUUCGCUGCGGGGUUUGGCCGGGGAGAUAGAGGAGUCGACGGCGAGCACUAUGGGGGUGGCGGGGCGGCGGGUUGGUGCAGCGGCGGUGCUCCACGAUGGCGAGGGGCGGACGGCGUGCUCCGGCGAGCAAUUGCCGGGGCGGGAGAGCGAGAGGGAGAUGGAAAAAGGGGCGGCGAGGGUCCUCACCACUUCACCUAGCCUUGGCGCGGAACGGGCGGCGAAGGGAUGCAGCGGAACGGCAGAUCGAUGGCGACGGCGGAGCUCGGGACGACGGCGGUGUUCGGCGGAGCUCUGGAGUGGUAGUGCGAGCGAGAGUGAGUGUGAGCAGAGGGGAAAGGGAGAGGGGUGAGCUCGGGUGCGCGAUUUAUAGAGGGGAAGGGGGGGUUAGUGCGCCCGCGCGUGCGAGGGAGGAGGCGGCGAGUUCGUCAGCGGCAGUCACGGCAAUGAAUGCCGCGGCGUCUCCGCGCGGGGGAGAGGUCGCGCGCGUCGCUGGCCAUUAUGGCCAUCAAGGUGGCGAUUCAAAAAGGAAGGCGGAGCUCGGGGGCGCGGUCGUGGGCGCGUCCACGACGGGAAAAGCGCUCGGCGUCAGAAAAAGAAGGUGCGGGAGGUAGGGGACGACGCUGACAAGCGGGCCCCUGGUGGAAGUGAGAGAGAGGGAGAGAGGUGGCGGGUUGGGCCAGCUGGGUUGGGGUUUUCUGGGCCGGACAGGUUGGGCCACAGGAAAGAAGGAAGAGAGAGGGAGAAGAGAUAGGUGGGCUGGGCUGGUUUGGGAUGGGUGAGGGGAAAAGUUUUGUUUUUUUUUUAACUCAAACACCUUUUGAGGAUUCGAGGAGAUUCGAGGACGAUGGUCAGAGCUGACACCGGCUUGAGCUCGAGCAACUCAGCCAUGGCGUUCCGGCAAGGGAACACGAGCUGUUGUCUUCUCUAUUUAUCUCCUGAGCACGUUUGGGCUUAGUUCUUUAUGGACCAAGGCACCGUUGAUGGACGGUCCAUCCGGCCUGGGCGACCACCUGCAGCUGCAGGGGCUGCCGUUCGGGCGUGCGUGGAGGUGACGCCGGCGGUGGCGGCGGAGAGUGGUUGUCGCUGCACUGGUACAACGAGGGUGUAUUAAUGGAUGGGAAUGUGGUCGCUAUCAAGACGUUUAUAGAACCACGCCCAUUAGGCUGGGAGCAUAUGCUUGCACAUGGUCAACUUGUCCUAGCUUCAAAGCUUCAACACCAAAACAUAGUUAAAGUUCUAGGAUAUGGCCAUGAAGUUGAAACACAAAAAUCUUCAGUGAUAAUGCGGCUGUUGAAACACAAAAAUCGUCCAGCUAAAGGAAGAGGCUAUUUCUGGGUUGAAGAAUAUGUGCCGAAUGGAACCUUGUACUCGAAAAUCCAUGGCAAGUUUCCAGUACUCAGAUACUCCUACAUCAUAGUUUUCACAUCUUGGCCAACAAUUCUCUUAAUUAAAUUUAUUGAAUAUUACAACCUAAUAGUUUA